ensembl:lincRNA
CGGGCAUUAUCACAGUUCAUCUAUUUAAUGCUGCUUUUUAGGUACCUGUUUUAUGCCAGGCAAUGCUCAAACCACUGGAAAAAAACAAAGAACCAGAGACCAAAUAGGAAGACAAGUAAAGUGGAAAAGUAGCAGUGAAAGAAUGAAUACUUUAAGCAGCUUAAUGCCAAAGGAACAUUAGACUGGAAGAGAACAAAGUGGCAGUAGGUAUUGUCGAAGAGAUAAAGAGGGACCGUGUCGUGAAGUUUUGUGUAAAAACAAGGGAUACAGAGAAGGUGAGGGGUGGAGAGAAGCAGGUUGAAGUCGCUAUGGAUAUUAAUAAUUUUUAAAUUAAAAUCCAAAUUUAAUUCAAAUGUCUAAAUGCCAGUACCCAAAAUAAAAAUAAACGACACAAAGAAGAAGUCAAAAUACUUGUUUCUCUUUUCAAAAAAAACCAUGAAGUACAUGGGUGGCUUGGCUUUAUAAGAAAGCUGCUGUGGACAGUGAAAAGAAAAAUAAAACAUGGACAUUUAGAAGAAUUACCAGGGUCAGACUGGGAUGAGAGAUCAUAGACUUAUUAUCACACCGGUUUUCACAGCUUCGUGAUUUUCAAUAGCAUUCAAUACCCCAAGUGAAAAUGCAAAUCCAGAUUGCUCAGUUGAGAAACAAUAAGGAUUUUACCAGAUAGAAAAAGGAAGGAAAAGAGUACUGCAAGGAAAUAAAGAAUUGUGCAAGAGAGCUAUUCAUGUUGUGUACUAGAUCUCGUCUGAACGAGUGUAGGGAAAAUGAGAAAAGAAAGGAAGAAAACGAGAAAAGUCAUGGAAGAAAAUGAGGCGGGUCAAGCUACUGGAUAUGGACGGGAGGAAGAGAGAGCAAUGUGAUUAUUUUAUUGUAUCUCAUGAUUUCAAAGUUGAGAAGUUCCAGAUAAUACCAAGAUCCAGCAUGGAGGCAUUGCCCAGUGGAUACUAUGGAAGGAAGUGGAGUGUCAACGAAGAAGACGAAGAGAAGCAAUGGGCAAGGAAGCCGAUUUUAGCACCACAUUCAAAAAUCGAUCCUGAAAGCUAACUCUUCCCAGCCCUAACCUGAAGUGUCGCAAACGACAAGAGAAUGAAUCAGGGCCAACGAUGUGAAUGUAUUUGCAAAACUCUGUCACCACAUACGCAUCUGACAAUAGCCCAGGAGCAUCAAGUUCGCUUACGGAGCGUGUCCAUUUAUCCUCUGAUUUUGAAGGUAACAGCUUUUGUGUUCCUUGCAGCUAUAGUGAUUGGCACAUUGCCAAUCAAAAGUAACUGAGUUGAGGACAUUGUGUUUCAAAUUUACAAUGCAAUACAAACUCCCUGUUAAAAGACAAAUCCUUCAUUUCAAAUUGUUGACUCAGAAAAUCCUUAAAAAAGAAUUCCGGCUGUUUAAAUUUAGCAUGCUGAGAAAGAACAAUCUUAAAAUAUUGUUUGGCUGUACGCCUGUAACAUUUUCAUUUUAUUCCUUGUUAGUGUUUGUCUUCUGUGAUAAGAAGACAAGUGAGAGUAAUCAUGUUAGUCUGUAACACUUCACGUUCUACCUAAAUGAACCAUUUUGUUUUUAUCCUAACCAGUUAAAGAUGGCCUUUUACUUCCUGGCCAAUUUUCAGAAAAUGAUUAAGCCAGAACCAGUGAUAUUUCCAAUUACUUUUUUACCUCUUCGGUCAGCAUCUGGCCUUUCUCCCCAACUUUUCAUUGAAUCAUUGUUUUUCCACUUUUAAAAACAGUAUGUAAAGAGAUUAUCUGAUGACAAGCAUAAUCUUUUUCUAAUAAGACCUUACAACUAUUUAAAGAGAUGUUUUGAGUCUGUACUUC